GCCCGCCUAGCUCAAUCGGAUAGAGCGUCAGACUCUUACAGUCGCAAGGCAGGGUCCAUCUGAAGGUUGCGAGUCGCGGUGGGCU